rnacentral:lncRNA from 1 species
GCACUAUAAAAAUAGGCCAAAAUGACGUCAAAAUAGCCACCAGGAAAAGUUAACUCUUUCCUGGAUAGGUAUGUUUAGUGGGACAAGACUGCCCUCUGUAGACCAAAUAACUAAAUUGCGAUCUGGAAGAUAACCACACCUCUAGUGCUUCUAUUGGGUUAUCAACUGAUGACGUACAGAGAGUCUGGCCCUUUAAAAGUUAGGACAAAGGGAAGAUAGGAAGGUAUGCGAAGGUAUGC